UACGUAGGGUGCAAGCGUUGUCCGGAAUUAUUGGGCGUAAAGAGCUCGUAGGUGGCCUGUCGCGUCGGCUGUGAAAAACUCGGGGCUCAACUCCGAGCUUGCAGUCGAUACGGGCAGGCUAGAGUUCGGCAGGGGGAGACUGGAAUUCCUGGUGUAGCGGUGAAAAUGCGCAGAUAUCAGGAGGAACACCGGUGGCGAAGGCGGGUCUCUGGGGCCGAUACUGACACUGAGGAGCGAAAAGCGUGGGGGAGCGAACAGG
rnacentral:rRNA from 1 species